UCUCCAGUGAAGGCUUGCCUCCUUCCCCCCUCGCCUCCCCCAGCAUCUCCCUGCUCCGUCCAGAUAAAGGGUGAGGACCAAGCACAUGUCAUUUUCUUUGUGCAAAAUCAAUAUUCAGCAAAGUUUAUCUGUCCGACAUAGCAGGAAGCGCUAAUUUCAUCCGCGUCAAUUACUUUGAUGAACGCUCAUACUGUUCAGGGUGCGAGAACAAGAUAAAAGAAUUACUGAAAUAAAAAGCAUACACCCGCCUGCAUGGCCCCCUCCCCUCUGGCCCCCACCCCAAAGCCCUGCGGGGCUGUGGGGCUGGGCUGCCCACGCGCAGACAGCUGGGUGGUGAUGGGGCGGAUGAGACUGCUUUGGGUUCGAAAGGUGGGGAUUUGGGAUGGAGACACGGCAGGACCACACCCUGCAAUCAAGCACAGCAACCCAUGCCCCUUCGGUCCCCAGUGGGAAUGGUUCCCCCGCUCCGUGCACAUCCCUGGCAGGAGUGGCGACAAAUGGCUCAUGGAGUAUCUUUGAUGCUGCACAUCAGAGGCGAUUUGUCAGCCCUUGUAGGCUGCCUGUUGCUCCUGUCCCACUGCAGUGGCCACAGGAGACAUCUGGGCUGCUGCCCCCCCAGUGACAGCAGUUGGCACAGGGUGGGGGAGGUUGGCCCUCAGAUCACCCCAAUCUGGAAAGCCUUCAUAGCCUGAACUGAGGCACGCAGGGAGAUCCCAAAUGCUGGGUCAGAUGGGGAUGGCCCUGCAAUGAACAGGCUGGACCCUGCCCUACCUGGCAGCAGAGGAAAACGUGGCUUAAGCAAAACCCG
rnacentral:lncRNA from 1 species